rnacentral:lncRNA from 1 species
UUCACAUAGCAUAACAUAGCAUAAUGAUCUCCAGGUUCAUCUAUGUGUCCUUAUUUUUUUAGGCUAUUCCUUAAGUAGCCUUAAAAUAUAAGAACACAUAGAUGAACCUGGAGAUGUAUUUUGUUGUGUAUACAUAUCACAUCUUCUUUAUCCAAUCAUCUUUUUUUGGACACUUAUGUUGAUUUUAUAUCUUAGCUAUUGUAAAUACUGCUGCAAUAGACAUGAGCAUACAGAUAGCUCUUCAGUAUACUAAUUUUAUUUCCUCUGGAUAUAUAUUUAGCAGUGUGGCAUUGGUGGAACAUAUUGCAGCUCUAUUAUUCUCAAGUCACUCGCAUAUUUGUAAAAUGUCAGGUAAAUUUAUGACUUCUUUAUUGCCUAGAUCAAAGGUGAUUCCCUCUUGUGUUUUUUAAUUUGCUCUGUGAAGUUGUAAUUUGAAUCUAUUUAAGAUGUUUGUGAAAACUUACUAGGGUCCAGAGGAUGUAUAGGGUGAAAAAUAACCAGUUUAUCAUCCCAGUCAUUCCUUAACCUUCAACUGGACCAACCAGGACUAGAAAGGAACCCAUGGCUUAAACAAAUCUCUGUGGUCCGUAAAAGUCCUGCCUAAGCUGUGUUCUUCUCUAGAGCUAAGGAUUGAGAGUACCUAAAUGCCAAAAUAUGACUCAAGGGUAAUGAAUCCUGUAAUUAGCCAGCUUUGGGCUAUUUGAAACUGAAAAAUUUCUAGUAGCACCUGUAGCCUUAUAUAUGAGUAUGACUCAGUUUAGGUUUUUUUGUCUGUUUUGAGACGAGGUCUUGUUCUCUCUCUCAGGCUGGAAUGUAGUAGCAUGAUNNNNNNNNNNUUCUUGUAGUAGGGUCGUAGUUGAGGGUCCUGCUCUGAAGUUUGAAAGAGAUUUUAGUGUAUUUUUGUAUAUGCUAAGAGAAAAGGGUGUAAUUUGAUUAUUUUGCAUGUGGAUAUCUAGUUUUCCUGUCACCAUUGAUUGAAAAGACAGUCAUUUCUUCAUUGUUGUUGUCACCUUUGUGUAAACUCAGUAGGCCGUACAUGUCUGGAUUGACUUCUGUGGCCUCUACUCUGUUCCAGUGGUCUAAGUGUCUGUUUUUAAGCCAGUGUUAUUCUGCUUGGGUUACUAUCAUUUUAUAGAAUACUUUGAAGUGAGGAAAGCACAGAUCUUUUUAUUUUCUCCGUAGUUUGCCCCGUGACCUCACUACUCAGAGAAAUGUCAAAAGAGAUGUUGAUUUUUCACUUUUUUUUUGAGACAGAGUUUCACUCUUGUUGCCCAGGCUGGAGUGCAAUGGUGCGAUCUUGGCUCACCGCAACCUCCACCUCCUAGGUUCAAGCGAUUCUCCUACCUCAGCCUCUUGAGUAGCUGGGAUUAUAGGCAUGCGCCACCAUGCCGAGCUAAUUUUUGUAUUUUUUUUUAUUUUUUUAUUUUUUUUAGUAGAGAUGGGGUUUCUCCAUGUUGGCCAGGCUGGUCUUGAACUUCUGACCUCAGGUGAUCUGCCUGCCUCAGCCUCCCAAAGUGCUGGGAUUACUGGCAUGAACCACCAUGCCUGGCCAAUUUUGCACUUUUUAAAUUUUAUGCUUGUUGUUAGGGCAGAGUGAUGACGACUAAGCUCCAUCCAUGCCACCAUGAACACCGGAAGUUCAUUUGAUUUUUUAUUAUACAUUUGUUCCCAUUUCUCUUAUAUUCAGAGUAUUUGAUGAAUUAUAUGUCAGUGUAAUUAGAAAGAGUGUUUUUUAAUGAAAAUAUUUAAUGCUUAAAUCUUAUAAUCAUAGGAAUUUUCUCUUUAAUUUUUGCAUUUUAACACCAUAAUAUAAAAUUAAAAUAUGUGAGAAUUCUUAUGUACUAUAAAAUUACAUGUCAGAUGUAUUUUUCUUUCUCAGAAGGACAACAGAGAGAUCAGUAUAUUACCUUAGCUAUAAAAAUAGUUUACAGUAAAACUGAUUCUUCAGAGCUGAAGGCAUGGAAAUGAGUGCAGAGACUAGACAGUGUUUCUAGGGUCUGUUUUCUCUCUGAAGUUUUCCAUGUGGCUUCUAGACUACUUUACCAUUUUAAUAUUAUCAAAGAGCCCUCCCUGACAUAAAACAAUCUUGGUAGCAAUGUGAAUAAAGUCAUUUUAGACAACAAUUUGGUGUGUAAUUUUAAUUUCAUUCUUGCAAAAGUCAGAAAAUAGUUCAGUGGAUGACAAAUGAAAAUUCAAUUUUCAUUCAUUCAAAUUUCAUUCAUUCAAAUCAAUUCCAGUCUCCUGGUCAGGACACAGCCUUCUGGAUAGACUACCAUAAGGAAAUAGUUUCUGGAGGCUUCACCUGUUGAAAUCAAG